UGUUUGUAAUGCAAUAGUUCAGCAACAGAAAGUCAAACAGACGUCUGGGGAGGAAGUGCACUCACUGUCUCACUGGAUGGAGUGGGUUACGGUCACAGUUUCUGAGCUGGAUAUUUUCCCUUGAAUGAACUCUUCCUGAAAGAAUGGACCGAGAUAAAGACAGCGAUGCACCUCAUGGCAAAAAAUUUGGAAUAAAAGGGAAGAAAAAACAAAGGAAAGGAAACAAGGGUGUUAUAAUUGCAAACAAAGGUGCUCUAGAGGCUGAGUCUGAAACUAUUCCUGGCGAUCCAGUCGUGGUAGACGUACCACAGCCUGUACCCGCUGAAGAGUCCACCUCGGCACACGUUUCCUUCAGACAGAUUGCUAAUACUAAGAGG